rnacentral:rRNA from 1 species
GAUGAACGCUGGCGGCGUGCUUAACACAUGCAAGUCGAACGGUGAACACGGAGCUUGCUCUGUGGGAUCAGUGGCGAACGGGUGAGUAACACGUGAGCAACCUGCCCCUGACUCUGGGAUAAGCGCUGGAAACGGCGUCUAAUACUGGAUAUGUGACGUGACCGCAUGGUCUGCGUUUGGAAAGAUUUUUCGGUUGGGGAUGGGCUCGCGGCCUAUCAGCUUGUUGGUGAGGUAAUGGCUCACCAAGGCGUCGACGGGUAGUCGGCCUGAGAGGGUGACCGGCCACACUGGGACUGAGACACGGCCCAGACUCCUACGGGAGGCAGCAGUGGGGAAUAUUGCACAAUGGGCGCAAGCCUGAUGCAGCAACGCCGCGUGAGGGAUGACGGCCUUCGGGUUGUAAACCUCUUUUAGCAGGGAAGAAGCGAAAGUGACGGUACCUGCAGAAAAAGCGCCGGCUAACUACGUG